rnacentral:rRNA from 1 species
GACGAACGCUGGCGGCGUGCCUAAUACAUGCAAGUGGGACGCAAGGGAACACACUGUGCUUGCACACCGUGUUUUCUUGAGUCGCGAACGGGUGAGUAACGCGUAGGUAACCUGCCUAUUAGCGGGGGAUAACUAUUGGAAACGAUAGCUAAUACCGCAUAAUAUUAAUUAUUGCAUGAUAAUUGAUUGAAAGAUGCAAGCGCAUCACUAGUAGAUGGACCUGCGUUGUAUUAGCUAGUUGGUAAGGUAAGAGCUUACCAAGGCGACGAUACAUAGCCGACCUGAGAGGGUGAUCGGCCACACUGGGACUGAGACACGGCCCAGACUCCUACGGGAGGCAGCAGUAGGGAAUCUUCGGCAAUGGACGAAAGUCUGACCGAGCAACGCCGCGUGAGUGAAGAAGGUUUUCGGAUCGUAAAGCUCUGUUGUAAGUCAAGAACGUGUGUGAGAGUGGAAAGUUCACACA